AUGUUCCCUAUGGUAACUGGGUUCAUGAGUUAUGGUCAACAAACAAUACGUGCUACAAGGUACAUAGGUCAAAGUUUCAUAACUACCUUAUCCCACACAAAUCAUUUACCUAUAACGAUUCACUACCCUUAUGAAAAAUCAAUUACACCAGAGCAUUUCCGAGGGUGAAUCCACUUUGAAUUCGAUAAAUAUUUGAAAAGGAUAUUAAGAAAACAAUUUCUUAAUUACAGUAUUGAUUUUGGAGUUUGUAUAUUUUGUGGCAAUUUUGUUGAGUAUUGUCCAACAAGUUGUUUAACAAUAACUGAAGAAUAUGAACUUUCUACCUAUGACCGUCAUGAAUUGAAUUACAAUCAAAUUCCUUUAAGUCGGUUACCAAUCUCCAUAACGGAAGAUUACACAAUUCAAACAAUUGGGAAUUCGUCUGAAAGUAAAAUAAACAAAGAAUCUUCGAAUUCAAGAACGAUUACUGAUUACUAA
rnacentral:rRNA from 1 species